rnacentral:ncRNA from 1 species
UGUCUCCUCCAAUUUCCUCCUUAAAGAAUUGGAUUGAAGCCCACACCGCAAGGUUGUGGGCUUUUUUUU